rnacentral:lncRNA from 12 species
CCAGCUUCCAGCGGAUGUCCUGGUUCCUAAAAGUGUUCAGAGUACUGCCACUACUUCCUGCAGAUGUGCAAACCAGCAGGUGGAGAGGGAAAGAGCAGGAAGGAAGUUGAGUAAAGGUGGGAGGGUAGUAGGAAGUACCCCCUCUCAGGCUCCUCCUUUCCUAGGCAGCGACUGUCUGUUCAAAACCACAGCAAGGCUGCCCAAAGCGAUGUCUUCAACAGGAGGGAGGUGUUGGUCCAGAAACAGUAAAGCUAAUCUUUGUUGAGGGCUUGUUAAUGAGACAACAUGCUGAGCAUCAUCUUGUAUCAUCUUCACCUUAACCACAGAAGACACUAACAUCACUGUCUCCUUUCUGCAGGUGAGGAGCUCAAAGCAUAAAGAGAGGAAGUCACUUGUUUCAGCUCUCAGGGUCCAGGAGCCUGUCUGACUCCAGAGGGGACUCAUGCCUGGGCUUCCUGUCUCCAGGGAAUCUGGACAGAGCGGUGGAAAUUUCAGAAAAGAAAGCAAGAAGGAUAAGGAUCCUGAGGAGCUCAGUUGGUUAAGCAUCCAACCCUUGAUUUCAGCUUGGAUUAUGAUCUCAGGGUCAUGAGAUGGAGCCCCGUGUCCAGCUCUGCGUUCAGCAUAGAGUCUGCUUGAGAUUCUCUCUUUCUCCCUCUGCCCUUCCCCCUGCCUUGUCUCUUUCUCUCCAAAAUAAGUGAAUAAAUAAAAUCUUUAAAAAAAAGAAAAAGAGCA